UCAGUACUCUCCAACGUGACCCACUCCACAGGGCAUGUUUAGUCAUCAGCAUCCCGUAGCCUGUUAACCACAGACUUGGAUCAGUCACAUUGGGAUACUUUCAUCCAUAUUUAAUUCUUGCAUUGCUCUGGAAAUGAAGAUGCCCUAUAAUUGCUGCCGCCAUGUUUGUUUUGCAGAUGCAUCACUCGCUGAGGCUGCAACUAAACAGGUAGUAGGCAGCUGUCAGGAACCGAGGUGCAACAAGACAGGAGAGUGAAGGAGCUGUCAAUCAAACCCGGUCUGCCAGCACGGUCCUGAGUCAAGGUUCAGUCAGGUCACUGGUGAGAGGAAAAGGGAGGGGCAGAGGUAUCCGGCAUGUGGCAUCAAUAAAACAUAAGUCAUGGUGUUAAAAAGUGUCAUUGCAAAAUGUAAAUUUUCCCUAAUAAAGGAGUUAAAAGAA